GAUGAACGCUGGCGGCGUGCCUAUUACAUGCAAGUCGAGCGAACGGACGAGAAGCUUGCUUCUCUGAUGUUAGCGGCGGACGGGUGAGUAACACGUGGAUAACCUACCUAUAAGACUGGGAUAACUUCGGGAAACCGGAGCUAAUACCGGAUAAUAUUUUGAACCGCAUGGUUCAAAAGUAAAAGACGGUCUUGCUGUCACUUAUAGAUGGAUCCGCGCUGCAUUAGCUAGUUGGUAAGGUAACGGCUUACCAAGGCAACGAUGCAUAGCCGACCUGAGAGGGUGAUCGGCCACACUGGAACUGAGACACGGUCCAGACUCCUACGGGAGGCAGCAGUAGGGAAUCUUCCGCAAUGGGCGAAAGCCUGACGGAGCAACGCCGCGUGAGUGAUGAAGGUCUUCGGAUCGUAAAACUCUGUUAUUAGGGAAGAACAUAUGUGUAAGUAACUGUGCACAUCUUGACGGUACCUAAUCAGAAAGCCACGGCUAACUACGUG
rnacentral:rRNA from 1 species